UGAGAUCGCCAGCACUAUAACUUUCCGUUAUUUUUUUAGACCGAUAGCACCAAUCUUUCCGUUAUUUGUGAGAAACAUGGAUGAAUAUUACAUUGAAAUUUCCCACUACAUUGCACAAGGGAUUUAUCAUAGCCUCACCCUCACUUCUAAGAAUCCCGAUAGCAGAAAGGCGACCAUUCGAAAGACGUCAAAGAAUUACACAAUUAAAAGUAAGUAACAACAAUGUGAUGUGUGAGACUUGUUAGAUACACGCAGAUGUCAAUAUUUUUGAAGACGGAUUUACUACCAGUUAAAUUAGUCAUUAAUCAGAUACUAAGUUAACGCCAAUUGAAGUUAACAUUCUCUUUUCCUGGUGGUUAUUAGAUAAGCAGUUGUAUUACAACCACCGGGGCAACCUGCGCUUGGUCGUGUUUCAAGCGCAGGUUUGCGACAUUUUAAGGAGCUGCCACGAUGACAUUGGCAGUGGGGGAUUUCAUGGCAGACGGCGGACAUUGGAGAAGGUUUUAGCAUCGUACCACUGGAAAACUGCACAAGAGGAUGUAAUGAAAUGGGUUGAUGAGUGUCCCCGCUGUCAGCACCACGAGACAGUUUAAACUGUUGCUCCUGUUCUUCAUCCCAUCCAAGUUCAGGAAGCUUGGAGUGUCCUUGGGAUAGACCUGAUUGGUCCCCUUCCUACCACUGCAAAGGGCAAAAGGUUCAUUCUAACAGCCACAGAUCUUUUUACCAAGUGGGUCGUGGCAAAAUCCCUCUAGACCAAAAUUGCCACAGAGGUGUCAAGAAAAAUUGUCAACAUUUUGCUUGACUUUGGACUUGUAGAGAGGAUCAUUACUGAUCAAGGGCGGGAAUUUGUCAAUGAGGUCAGCCGUGGCGUUUUUGAGGCUUUGGGUGUGAAGCACUGCAUUACAUCAGCCUACCAUCCCCAGGCCAAUGGACAGGAUGAGCACACUAAUUACAAUAAUAAUUAAUUCCUUAACUAAUUAAUAAACAAGACUGUGGGGAGGAUAAAAAUGACUGGGAUAUCCAUUUAAGGGGAAUAGUGGCAGGCAUCAACACAGCUAAACAGAGAUCAACCAGGUUCACACCCUAUUGUGCCCUGUUUGGAAGACACCCUCGCACAGCAGGUGUGAUAAAUGUCACACAAGAAGAGGGAAGUGACAAAGAUGUUCUUGUAGUAGAGGAGACGGAAGAGCACCUGGAGGCCAAGAUAGCAGAAGUUGCUGAUUUGCACGCAAAGAUUUACCAGAACAUAAAAAAUGCACAGCAAAAACAAAAGAUGGAAUAUGAGACCAGGAAAAACGAAAUGUGAAAUUGUUCAUCUUCAAAGUUGGUGAUGAGGUCCUUAAAGCCAAUAAAAGAAAGGAAGGACGAAACGUAAAAUCGCUAAGUAGUUUGUCCAACUGGUGUUACCGUAGGGUGACGUCGCUAAGUAGUAAAAUCGCUAAACGUUAAAUCGCUCGCUAACUAGUUUGUCCAACUGGGGUUACCGUAGGGUGACGUCAUCAUUGGUCUAAGGACCCCGAGAACUUCUGGCAGCCCGAGAACAUCCGGUACCCACACCGGCUCUCCCUCAGUUCCUGCUGAGACUGCCUCCUGUUCUGGGUUCCUGCUCCUCUGUCAGUGCAGGUAUUGUGGCCGGGGCUUGCUGCGUGCACAUUCUUCCUGUCGGCUGCUGCAGUUGUGGUGUCCUGUUUUUAUUUUACUGCAGUGAUUGCCGUAAUCCCUCGUCACACAGCGUAUCUACGUGUGACAGGAAAGGGCGAAGUGGAACGGAGCGCAUCGCUCUCUGCCCCUCCCUUUAGGUGCAAUCAGCGCUUAUCGGUGUGUUUGAUGUGUACCUCUUCACCCUGCAUGUCCUCUGGUUGCAGAGGUAAUGCCCUGCUGCCCGUCUUCUGGUUUACCUCCGCAGGGUGUUUGGUGGAACCCGCCGCCGCUGCUGGGACAGAUUUUUGGUCCUUCUGUGAGUGUUUCUGUAGUUGUUCUUCACGGGUCCCCCCCCAUCCACUCUAGUGGUCCGACGGGUGAGUCGCUGCCGGCGGCGUCUCCUCCCCCACCUACCACGUGACUGUGCAGGUGCUCCUGGGAGUUGGAGCCCCGUAGGGUCUCGUUAACACCUACCCUUUCCUCGCCACCUGUAGGAAAAAGGACUCUGGUACACAAGUGGGAAUACACUUGUUUGUUGCGUUUUUUUGUUGUUUUUUUUAACUUGUCCUGUC